CUUGGGGUAAAGGUAGUGAACGAGAGGAGCCAAAUCUGGAGCAUGGGAAGGAAUUCAAGGCAAUACAUCACCUUCAUUGGAUAAGCCUUUUUAGCUUGUUUUGCACUGAUUGUCCUCGCCUUGCUUCGGUGGAAGGGUUCUCUGAGCACUCCGCAAAAUGCUUCUGCAAGUCUCCAGGAGCUGUGGGGCUUCUCCAGGCCCCACGUGGGAAUCUUCUGGAAUGUAUAAAGUCUGGGCACACUGGACUUGGAGUAUGAACUGGGGAGCUCAUGGGAAUCUGACUCCCUACCCUCCCCUUCACUGAAGCCGUAUACUGUGAGGUUUCAGAGAGGGGCGAUUUGAGUUUUUCUGUAGGCUGUCAACAUUACUAAAAGAGAAAAAUUUCUCCCAACCACAAGGAAAAAAUAGAGAAAUAAAUGUCAAGUCUGCAAGUCUGCUGCAUUUAAAACCCCCAAGUUCCUGCUCUAAUUAGUAUUCUAAACCAGGCAAGAGCAGAAAUUCAAA